GCCCUGGUAGCUCAAUUGGUUAGAGCGUCGGACUUUUACGAUUCCUUGUGAUUCCAACUAAAGUCCAUCCGAAGGCUGCGGGUUCGACCCCCGCCUGGGGCG